CUGGCGGGUGGCCUCCUCCCAAGCCCGGGCUGGCACCUCCCGGCCGCCCGCACAGAGCAGCGCCCAGGGACCCCCCGCCCCCGGCUUCAGGUGCGGUGGCACGAGGUCACUGGGCGAGCGGGCGGCCCGGCCCGUGGGGUGGGAAACAGGCCUUCGGAGCCAGCUCAGCCUCCCCAGCCACAGGGCCCUGGGCGAGCCCCUGGGUCCCCUUGAGCCCCAGGUUGUCCUCAGCGGCCUCGGGGCCCUAACACAGGCCCUGGCCCCGCCUCCCCGGCACAACUGUCACCAGGUGACUUUGGGAAAGCCCUGGGAGGGGGCUAAGCAGAACCGGGCUGAAGGGUAACCGUGAGCAUGUGUGUAAACGAAUAAGAAACCCCUGGAUCUGGGCCACGGAGAAGACGCCUCCGCCCUGACCCGGGUUCCCGGCCGAGCUUCGGGCCCCCGGGGCUGAGGCUUGGGGCGCCGCGGUCAGUGCACAGGCCGUGGCCGGGGCUCCCUGCGGCACACACGGCACCGGCAGCCCCUCCAGCUCCUGGUUGUUGGAGGCACGAGGUUCUGGAGAAGCCCAGGCAGCUCAUUCCGUUUUCCCUGGAGACACAGGCAGGCUUGCGAGGUCUUCUCUGCGGCCUGGGCGCUGCGGGGCCGGGGUGCUGGGGUGGGGGGCCCUGCAGACAUCACAGGGGCACAGACGGUAUCCUUCUGUCUUCUUUCACAUCUGGGCUUCUGAAGGAAAAUGCCAUCAAAGAGAAAGGAGAAAAACUCACUUUCCAGGGAGAUGGCAUCAUUCUCAAGGAAGGUCCCUUGGCAUCACCUGCUGCAAGAUCACUUGGCACCACACCUAGCCCUCUUCUGUCUUAGAAGUGUCUGGGCAGUGAGAGACCUUUAAGCUCUUACAGACUGGAGCUGUGUUGUUUCCGGAGUCUCAGGUCAGUAGUUGGAUUUCAGUAACCCCUACUUUCGGUUAUUUUGUGACCUUUGGUGAGGCAGGUACUGCUUUCUCUUCCCAGCCUCAGGGAAGGGAGAUGCAAUUCAGAGAACAAAAGAAGCAAAUUCUUGCCUUUUGAGUUUAAAAGAAGAAAUAGAUGAACAGAUAGGGCCUCCGUGGUUCUCAGGUCUGGGAAAGCGCCCCCAGGGAAGAAAAGAGAGUUUAGGC
rnacentral:lncRNA from 12 species